GAGAAAGCUGUUGUGAAAACGGACAUUCAGAUAGCCCUCCCUUCUGGGUGUUAUGGAAGAGUGGCUCCACGGUCAGGCUUGGCUGCAAAACACUUUAUUGAUGUAGGAGGGCUUUUGUUUUGGGUAGAGUAUUAAUAACAAGUAAGAUGUGACAUGGAGCUGUAUUCAGUUAGAUUCACGUGAGUCUUAUCCAGCCUUUCA
rnacentral:sRNA from 1 species